rnacentral:tRNA from 1 species
GGAAGUGCUUGCAAGUGUGGUGACGGCCCUGGGCUUCAAACCCAGUGGGGCAUGUUGAGAGGUAUCGCUCGGCGGGUUCGAUUCCCGUGCACUUCCGA